rnacentral:rRNA from 1 species
GACGAACGCUGGCGGCGUGCUUAACACAUGCAAGUCGAACGGACCUUCGGGUUAGUGGCGAACGGGUGAGUAACACGUGGGUGAUCUGCCCUGCACUUUGGGAUAAGCCUGGGAAACAGGGUCUAAUACCGGAUAGGACCACGGCAUUCAUGUGUUGUGGUGGACAGCUUUUGCGGUGUGGGAUGGGCCCGCGGCCUAUCAGCUUGUUGGUGGGGUAAUGGCCUACCAAGGCGACGACGGGUAGCCGGCCUGAGAGGGUGACCGGCCACACUGGGACUGAGAUACGGCCCAGACUCCUACGGGAGGCAGCAGUGGGGAAUAUUGCACAAUGGGCGCAAGCCUGAUGCAGCGACGCCGCGUGAGGGAUGACGGCCUUCGGGUUGUAACCCUCUUUCGCCAGGGACGAAGCGCAAGUGACGGUACCUGGAGAAGAAGGACCGGCCAACUACGUGCCAGCCGCCGCCGUAACAC